rnacentral:tRNA from 3 species
GCUAGCGUAGCUUAACUAAAGCAUAACACUGAAGAUGUUAAGAUAGACCCUAGUAAGGUCUCGUAAGCA